UACGGAGGGUGCGAGCGUUGUCCGGAAUCACUGGGCGUAAAGGGCGCGUAGGUGGCCCGUUAAGUGGCUGGUGAAAUCCCGCGGCUCAACUGCGGGGCUGCCGGUCAUACUGGCGAGCUAGAGCACGGUAGGGGCAGAUGGAAUUCCCGGUGUAGCGGUGGAAUGCGUAGAUAUCUGGAGGAAUACCGGUGGCGAAGGCGGCAUCCUGGACCGGCAUUGACGCUGAUGAGCGAAAGCUAGGGGAGCAAACGGGG
rnacentral:rRNA from 1 species